rnacentral:rRNA from 1 species
UACAGAGGGGGCAAGCGUUGUUCGGAAUUACUGGGCGUAAAGGGCGCGUAGGCGGCCUGUUAAGUCGAACGUGAAAUCCCCGGGCUCAACCCGGGAACUGCGUCCGAUACUGGCAGGCUUGAAUUCGGGAGAGGGAUGUGGAAUUCCAGGUGUAGCGGUGAAAUGCGCAGAUAUCAGGAGGAACACCGGUGGCGAAGGCGGUUCUCUGGGCCGAUACUGACGCUGGAGGAGCGAAAGCGUGGGGAGCGAACAGG